UACGAAGGGGGCUAGCGUUGCUCGGAAUCACUGGGCGUAAAGCGCACGUAGGCGGCUUUUUAAGUCAGGGGUGAAAUCCUGGAGCUCAACUCCAGAACUGCCUUUGAUACUGGGAGCUCGAGUCCGGGAGAGGUGAGUGGAACUCCGAGUGUAGAGGUGAAAUUCGUAGAUAUUCGGAAGAACACCAGUGGCGAAGGCGGCUCACUGGCCCGGUACUGACGCUGAGGUGCGAAAGUGCGGGGAUCAAACAGG
rnacentral:rRNA from 1 species